rnacentral:rRNA from 1 species
ACGGAAGGCAGCAGUGGGGAAUAUUGGACAAUGGGGGAAACCCUGAUCCAGCGACGCCGCGUGAGUGAAGAAGUAUUUCGGUAUGUAAAGCUCUAUCAGCAAGGAAGAAAAUGACGGUACUUGACUAAGAAGCUCCGGCUAAAUACGUGCCAGCAGCCGCGGUAAUACGUCUGGAGCAAGCGUUAUCCGGAUUUACUGGGUGUAAAGGGAGCGUAGACGGCAAAGCAAGUCUGAAGUGAAAUCCCGGGGCUCAACCCCGGAACUGCUUUGGAAACUGUUUAGCUAGAGUGCAGGAGAGGUAAGCGGAAUUCCUAGUGUAGCGGUGAAAUGCGUAGAUAUUAGGAGGAACACCAGUGGCGAAGGCGGCUUACUGGACUGUAACUGACGUUGAGGCUCGAAAGCGUGGGGAGCAAACAGGAUUAGAUACCCUGGUA